GAACGACGCUGGCGGCGCGUUUUAAGCAUGCAAGUCGAGCGGCAAGGGCCUUCGGGCCCCUAGAGCGGCGGACGGGUGAGUAACACGUGGACAAUCUGCCCCCGGCCCGGGAUAGCCCAGGGAAACCUGGAUUAAUACCGGAUGGAGACGGGACCCGCGAAGGCGGGACCCGGGAAAGGCGCUGCGGCGCCGCCGGGGGAUGAGUCUGCGUCCCAUUAGCUAGACGGCGGGGUAACGGCCCACCGUGGCGACGAUGGGUAGCCGGCCUGAGAGGGUGGACGGCCACAUUGGAACUGAGACACGGUCCAGACUCCUACGGGAGGCAGCAGCUAAGAAUCUUCCGCAAUGGGCGAAAGCCUGACGGAGCGACGCCCGCGUGAACGAAGAAGGCCGUGAGGUUGUAAAGUUCUUUUCGGGAGGGGGAACAACCGUGGCAGGGAAUGGCCGCGGGAUGACGUGAAUCCCGGAAUAAGCCCCGGCUAACUACGUGCCAGCAGCGGC
rnacentral:rRNA from 1 species